rnacentral:rRNA from 1 species
GAGUUUGAUUAUGGCUCAGAUUGAACGCUGGCGGCAGGCUUAACACAUGCAAGUCGAACGAUGAUUACUAGCUUGCUAGUAUGAUUAGUGGCGAACGGGUGAGUAAUGCUUAGGAAUCUGCCUAUUAGUGGGGGACAACAUUCCGAAAGGAAUGCUAAUACCGCAUACGUCCUACGGGAGAAAGCAGGGGAUCUUUUGACCUUGCGCUAAUAGAUGAGCCUAAGUCGGAUUAGCUAGUUGGUGGGGUAAAGGCCUACCAAGGCGACGAUCUGUAGCUGGUCUGAGAGGAUGAUCAGCCACACUGGGACUGAGACACGGCCCAGACUCCUACGGGAGGCAGCAGUGGGGAAUAUUGGACAAUGGGCGAAAGCCUGAUCCAGCCAUGCCGCGUGUGUGAAGAAGGCCUUUUGGUUGNAAAGCACUUUAAGUGGGGAGGAAAAGCUAAUAAUUAAUACCUAUAGCCCUGACNUACCCCCA